UCUGCCCACUAAUACAAAGGAGAAGUGAAGAAGUGGCCUUGUCCCCUCCUCAAAGGAUGGUGAGCCCUAAUGUUCUCUAGCUCAAGGAGUCUCAAGUCAGAGAUAUGAUUCUGGAUUACGCCACCUAUGGAGAUGCUGCCACUGAAAGCUCUGUACUGUAGAGAAUGGGCCUCCGACCGCUGGGGUAGUUCUUAGACUUUGUGUGUCGUAAAGAAGAACCUCUAAAGUCCCUGGGUCUUUCAGUUACAGACUCAGAUUUCUGCCAUCUCUCAGUCCAAUCCUGAAAACAGGUAACAACGCCUGUUUCACUUCCAAGAAUCCACUCCGUGAUGGAAACGGUGGGGGUUCAGAAGAUCCAAUGCUGGGAGAGACUCCGAGGGAAAUUCAAGGUUUGGUGCUUGGAAAGUCACAGACCUUCAGGGCACAGGGAUUGAAAGGUGACCAGAGCCCACUUCUUUGCCACAUCUGACACAGAAAAGUGA
ensembl:lncRNA